GGGAUGCAACACGAGGACUUCCCGGGAGGUCUCCCAUCCUAAUACUACUCUCGCCCAAGCCCGCUUAACUGCGGAGUUCUGAUGGGAUCCGGUGUUUUAGUGCUGGUAUGAUCGCAUCCGUUAGUAUAUGCAAUGCAAUCUUAUAUAUUCUUUUUUGAAGACUUGAUGAACCAUUCUUCGUGGGUCCCACCCGCUGUGUAGGGAUACCCCAUCUAGUCUUAACGAGCUUUGCUGCAUUGAAAAAAUUCUAAAACAAUGCUUGAACAAGUAAUCUUUGGUCCGUAAUAUAUCCCAAAUCACAAAAAUACCCGAAAAAGUACUUAAAGGUCAAAAUUUGGGGUCGACAAAAAGUCAAUGGAAAAGUUCCUUUGUCCUGCUUCUUUCGUCGGAGGGCUCUCUUUGGGCUUUCCGAAAAGGUAUCACAUGUCAAGUUUGGCCUCACGGUAUAAAAGUUAUAGAGUCAUAAAGUUUUAACCAAAAAAAACAAAUUAAAAACAAAGAGGGAUACAACACGAGGACUUCUCGGGAGGUCACCCAUCCUAGUACUACUCUCGCCCAAGCACGCUUAACUAAAGGUCAAAAUUUGGAGUCGACAAAAAGUCAAUGGAUAUGUUCCAUUGUCCUGCUACUUUCAUCGUAGGGCUCUCUUUGAGCUUUUCGAAAAGGUAUCACAUGCCAAGUUUGGCCUGACGGUAUAAAAGUUAUAGAGUCAUAAAGUUUUAACCAAUAAAAAAAAUUAAAAAAAAAGUGUGAUGCAACACGAAGACUUCCCGGGAGGUCACCCAUCCUAGUACUACUCUCGCCCAAGCCCGCUUAACUGCGGAGUUCUGAUGGGAUCCGGUGUAUUAGUGCUGCUAUGAUCUUAUCUGUUAGUAUAUGCAAUGCAAUCGUAUAUAUUCUUUUUGGAAGAAUUGAUGAACCAUUCGCCGUGGGUCCCACCCGCUGUGUAGGGAUACCCCAUCUAGUCUUAACGAGCUUUGAUGCAUGAUAAAAUUCUAAAACAAUGCUUGAACAAGUAAUUUUGGAUCCGUAAUAUAGCCCAAAUCACAAAAAUACCCGAAAAAGUACUUAAAGGUCAAAAUUUGGGGUCGACAAAAAGUCAAUGAAAAAGUUCCUUUGUCCUGCUUCUUUCGUCGGAGGGCUCUCUUUGGGCUAUUCGAAAAGGUAUCACAUGCCAAGUUUGGCCUCACGGUAUAAAAGUUAUAGAGUCCUAAAGUUUUAACCAAAAAAAACAAAUUAAAAAAAAAGAGGGAUGCAACACGAGGACUUCCCGGGAGGUCACCCAUCCUAGUACUACUCUCGCCCAAGCACGCUUAACUAAAUGUCAAAAUUUGGAGUCGACAAAAAAUCAAUUGAUAUGUUCCAUUGUCCUGCUACUUUCAUCGGAGGGCUCUCUUUGGGCUUUCCGAAAAUGUAUCACAUGCCAAGUUUGGCCUCACUGUAUAAAAGUUAUACAGUCAUAAAGUUUUAACCAAAGAAAAAUAUUAAAAAAAAAGGGAUGCAACACGAGGACUUCCCUGAGGUCACCAAUCCUAGUACUACUCUCGCCCAAGCACGCUUAACUACGGAGUUUUGAUGGGAUCUGGUGUAUUAGUGCUGGUAUAAUCUCAUCCGUUAGUAUAGGCAAUGCAAUGGUGUAUAUUCUUUUUUGAAGACUUGAUGAACCAUUCGUCGUGGGUCCCACCCGCUGUGUAGGGAUACCCCAUCUAGUCUUAACGAGCUUUGAUCAUGAAAAAAAUUCUAAAACAAUGCUUGAACAAGUAAUUUUGGGUCCGUAAUAUAGCCCAAAUCACAAAAUACCCGAAAAAGUACUUAAAGGUCAAAAUUUGGGAUCGACAAAAAGUCAAUGGAAAAGUUCGUUUGUCCUGCUUCUUUCGUCGGAGGGCUCUUUUUGGGCUUUCCGAAAAGGUAUCACAUGCCAAGUUUGGCCUCACGGUAUAAAAGUUAUAGAAUCAUAAAGUUUUAACCAAAAAAAACAAAUUAAAAAAAAAGAGGGAUGCAACACGAGGACUUCCCGGGAGGUCACCCAUCCUAGUACUACUCUCGCCCAAGCACGCUUAACUAAAGGUUAAAAUUUGGAGUCGACAAAAAAUCAAUGGAUAUGUUCCAUUGUCCUGCUUCUUUCAUCGGAGAGCUCUCUUUGGGCUUUCCGAAAAGGUAUCACAUGCCAAGUUUGGCCUCACUGUAUAAAAGUUAUAGAGUCAUAAAGUUUUAACCAAUGAAAAAAAUUAAAAAAAAAGAGGGAUGCAACACGAGGACUUCCCGGGAGGUCACCCAUCCUAGUACUACUCUCGCCCAAGCCCCCUUAACUGCGGAGUUCUGAUGGGAUCCGGUGUAUUAGUGUUGGUAUGAUCUUAUCUGUUAGUAUAUGCAAUGCAAUCGUAUAUAUUCUUUUUGGAAGAAUUGAUGAACCAUUCGCCGUGGGUCCCACCCGCUGUGUAGGGAUACCCCAACUAGUCUUAACGAGCUUUGAUGCAUGAAAAAAUUCUAAAACAAUGCUUGAACAAGUUAUUUUGGGUCCGUAAUCUAGCCCAAAUCACAAAAAUGCCCGAAAAAGUACUUAAAGGUCAAAAUUUGUGGUCGGCAAAAAGUCAAAGGAAAAGUUCGUUUGUCCUGUUUCUUUCGUCGGAGGGUUCUCUUUGGGAUUUCCGAAAAGGUAUCACAUGCCUAGUUUGGCCUCACGGUAUAAAAGUUAUAGAGUCAUAAAGUUUUAACCAAAAAAAACAAAUUAAAAAAAAAGAGGGAUGCAACACGAGGACUUCCCGGGAGGUCACCCAUCCUAGUACAAUAUUCGCCCAAGCACGCUUAACUGCGGAGUUCUGAUGGGAUCUCGUGUAUUAGUGCUGGUAUGAUCGCAUACGUUAGUAUAUGCAAUGCAAUCGUAUAUAUUCUUUUUUGAAGACUUGAUGAACCAUUCGUCGUGGGUCGCACCCGCUAUGUAGGAUACCCCAUCUAGUCUUAACGAGCUUUGAAGCAUGAAAAAAUUCUAAAACAAUGAUUGAACAAGUAAUUUUGUGUCCGUAAUAUAGCCCAAAUCACAAAUAUGCCCGAAAAAGUACUUAAAGGUCAAAAUUUGGGAUCGACAAAAAGUCAAUAAAAUUGUUCCAUUGUCCUGCUUCUUUCGUCGGAGGGCUCUCUUUACGCUUUCCGAAAAGAUAUCACAUGCCAAGUUUGGCCUCACGGUAUAAAAAUUAUAGAGUCAUAAAGUUUUAACCAAAAAAAACAAUUUAAAAAAAAAGAAGGAUGAAACACGAGGACUUCCCGGGAGGUCACCCAUCCUAGUACUACUCUCGCCCAAGCACGCUUAACUAAAGGUCAAAAUUUAGAGUCGACAAAAAAUCAAUGGAUAUGUUCCAUUGUCCUGCUUCUUUCAUCAGAGGGCUCUCUUUGGGCUUUCCGAAAAGGUAUCACAUGCCAAGUUUGGCCUCACUGUUUAAAAGUUGUAGAGUCAUAAAGUUUUAACCAAUGAAAAAAAUUUUUAAAAAAAGAGGGAUGCAACACGAGGACUUCCCAGGAGGUCACCCAUCCUAAUACUACUCUCGCUCAAGCACACUUAACUGCGGAGUUCUGAUGGGAUCCGGUGUAUUAGUGCUGGUAUGAUCUCAUCUGUUAGUAUAUGCAAUGCAAUCGUAUAUAUUCUUUUUGAAAGAAUUGAUGAACCUUCGCCGUGGGUCCCACCCGCUGUAUAGGGACACCCCAUCUAGUCUUAACGAGCUUUGAUGCAUAAAAAAAUUCUAAAACAAUGCUUUAACAAGUAAUUUUGGGUCCGUAAUAUAGCCCAAAUCACAAAAAUGCGCGAAAAAGUAUUUAAAGGUCAAAAUUUGGGUUCGACAAAAAGUCAAUGGAAAAGUUCGUUUGUCGUGCUUCUUUCGUCGGAAGGCUCUCUUUGGGAUUUCCGAAAAGGUAGCACAUGCCUAGUUUGGCCUCACGGUAUAAAAGUUAUAGAGUUAUAAAGUUUUAACCAAAAAAAACAAAUUAAAAAAAAGAGGGAUGCAACACGAGGACUUCCCGGGAGGUCACCCAUCCUAGUACUACUCUCGCCCAAGCACGCUUAACGAAAGGUCAAAAUUUGGAGUCGACAAAAACUCAAUACAUAUGUUCCAUUGUCCUGCUUCUUUCAUCGGAGGGCUUUCUUUGGGCUUUCCGAAAAGGUAUCACAUGCCUAGUUUGGCCUCUCGGUAUAAAAGUUAUAGAGUCAUAAAGUUUUAACCAAAGAAAAAAAUUAAAAAAAAAGAGAGAUACAACACGAGGACUUCCCGGGAGGUCACCCAUCCUAGUACUACUCUCGCCCAAGCAUGCUUAACUGCGGAUUUCUGAUGGGAUCCGGUGUAUUAGUGCUGGUAUGAUCGCAUCCGUUAGUAUAUGCAAUGCAAUCGUAUAUAUUCUUUUUUGAAGACUUGAUGAACCAUUCGCCGUGGGUCGCACCCGCUAUGUAGGGAUACCCCAUCUAGUCUUAACGAGCUUUGAUGCAUGAUAAAAUUCUAAUACAAUGAUUGAACAAGUAAUUUUGGGUCCGUAAUAUAGCCCAAAUCACAAAUAUGACCGAAAAAGUACUUAAAGGUCAAAAUUUGGGAUCGACAAAAAGUCAAUGAAAUUGUUCCAUUGUCCUGCUUCUUUCGUCGGAGGGCUCUCUUUACGCUUUCCGAAAAGGUAUCACAUGCCAAGUUUGGCCUCACGGUAUAUAAGUUAUAGAGUCAUAAAGUUUUAACCAAAAAAAACAAAUUAAAAAAAAAGAAGGAUGCAACACGAGGACUUCCCGGGAGGUCACCCAUCCUAGUACUACUCUCGCCCAAGCACGCUUAACUAAAGGUCAAAAUUUGGAGUCGACAAAAAAUCAAUGGAUAAGUUCCAUUGUCCUGCUUCUUUCAUCGGAAGGCUCUCUUUGGGCUUUCCGAAAAGGUAUCACAUGCCAAGUUUGGCUUGACGGUAUAAAAGUUAUAUAGUCAUAAAGUUUUAACAAAAAAAAAACAAAUUAAAAAAAAAGAGGGAUGCAACACGAGGACUUCUCGGGAGGUCACCCAUCCUAGUACUACUCUCGCCCAAGCACGCUUAACUAAAGGUCAAAAUUUGGAGUCGACAAAAACUCAAUACAUAUGUUCCAUUGUCCUGCUUCUUUCAUCUGAGGGCUCUCUUUGGCUUUCCGAAAAGGUAUCACAUGCCAAGUUUGGCCUCACUAUAUAAAAGUUAUAGAGUCAUAAAGUUUUAACCAAUGAAACAAAUUAAAAAAAACAGAGAGAUGCAACACGAGGACUUCCCGGGAGGUCACCCAUCCUAGUACUACUCUCGCCCAAGCACGCUUAACUGCGGAGUUCUGAUGGGAUCCAGUGUAUUAGUGUUAGUAUGAUCGCAUCCGUUAGUAUAUGGAAUGCAAUCGUAUAUAUUCUUUUUUGAAGACCUGAUAAACCAUUCGCCGUGGGUCGCACCCGCUAUGUAGGGAUACCCCAUCUAGUCUUAACGAGCUUUGAAGCAUGCAAAAAUUCUAAAACAAUGCUUCAACAAGUAAUUUUGGGUCCGUAAUAUAGCCCAAAUCACAAAUAUGCCCGAAAAAGUACUUAAAGGUCAAAAUUUGGGAUCGACAAAAAGUCAAUGAAAUUGUUCCGUUGUCUUGCUUCUUUUGUCGGAAGGCUCUCUUUACGCUUUCCGAAAAGGUAUCACAUGCCAAGUUUGACCUCACGGUAUAAAAGUUAUAGAGUCAUAAAGUUUUAACCAAAAAAAACAAAUUAAAAAAAAAAGAAGGAUGCAACACGAGGACUUCCCGGGAGGUCACCCAUCCUAAUACUACUCUCGCCCAAGCACGCUUAACUAAAGGUCAAAAUUUGGAGUCGACAAAAAAUCAAUGGAUAAGUUCCAUUGUCCUGCUUCUUUCAUCGGAGGGCUCUCUUUGGGCUUUCCGAAAAGGUAUCAGAUGCCAAGUUUGGCCUGACGGUAUAAAAGUUAUAGAGUCAUAAAUUUUUAACAAAAAAAAAACAAAUUAAUAAAAAAGAGGGAUGCAACACGAGGACUUCCCGGGAGGUCACCCAUCCUAGUACUACUCUAGCCCAAGCACGCUUAACUAAAGGUCAAAAUUUGGAGUCGACAAAAACUCAAUACAUAUGUUCCAUUGUCCUGCUUCUUUCAUCCGAGGGCUCUCUUUGGGCUUUCCGAAAAAGGUAUCACAUGCCAAGUUUGGCCUCACUGUAUAAAAGUUAUAGAGUCAUAAAGUUUUAACCAAAGAAAAAAAUUAAAAAAAAAAGAGGGAUGCAAGACAAGGACUUCCCGGGAGGUCACCCAUCUUAGUACUACUCUCGCCCAAGCACGCUUAACUACGGUGUUCUGAUGGGAUCCGGUGUAUUAGUGCUGGUAUGAUCACAUCCGUUAGUAUAUGCAAUGCAAUCGUAUAUAUUCUUUUUGGAAGAAUUGAUGAACCAUUCGCCAUGGGCCCCAUCCGCUAUGUAGGGAUACCCCAUCUAGUCUUAACGAGCUUUGAUGCAUGAAAAAAUUCUAAAACAAUGCUUGAACAAGUAAUUUUUGGUCCGUAAUAUAGCCCAAAUCACAAAAAUACGCGAAAAGUACUUAAAGGUCAAAAUUUAGGGUCGACAAAAAGUCAAUGGAAAAGUUUGUUUGUCCUGCUUCUUUCGUCGGAGGGCUCUCUUUGGGCUUUCCGAAAAGGUAUCACAUGCCAAGUUUGGCCUCACGGUAUAAAAGUUAUAGAAUCAUAAAGUUUUAACCAAAAAAAACAAAUUAAAAAAAAACAGGGAUGCAACACGAGGAGUUCCCAGGAGGUCACCCAUCCUAGUACUACUCUCGCCCAAGCAUGCUUAACAAAAGGUUAAAAUUUAGAGUCGACAAAAAAUCAAUGGAUAUGUUCCAUUGUCCUGCUUCUUUCAUCGGAGGGCUCUCUUUGGGCUUUCCGAAAAUGUAUCACAUGCCAAGUUUGGCCUCACUGUAUAAAAGUUAUAGAGUCAUAAAGUUUUAACCAAAGAAAAAAAUUAAAAAAAAGAGGGAUGAGACACGAGGACUUCCCGGGAGGUCAUCCAUCUUAGUACUACUCUCGCCCAAGCACGCUUAACUGCGGAGUUCUGAUGGGAUCCGGUGUAUUAGUGCUGGUAUGAUCACAUCC
rnacentral:lncRNA from 1 species